rnacentral:antisense_RNA from 1 species
ACGGUUAUAAAUCAACAUAUUGAUUUAUAAGCAUGGAAAUCCCCUGAGUGAAACAACGAAUUGCUGUGUGUAGUCUUU